rnacentral:rRNA from 1 species
AACAGUAAACUAGAAAAACACAUUUAUUAUAUCGUUAACCCUACACAGGAGUGUUCACAGGAAAGAUUUAAAGAAAAUAAAGGAACUCGGCAAACAUAAACUCCGCCUGUUUACCAAAAACAUCGCCUCUUGCACACCCUGUAUAAGAGGUCCCGCCUGCCCUGUGACAUUGUUUAACGGCCGCGGUAUUAUGACCGUGCGAAGGUAGCGUAAUCACUUGUCUUUUAAUUGAAGACCUGUAUGAAAGGCAUCACGAGAGUUUACCUGUCUCUAUUUUCUAAUCAAUGAAAUUGAUUUCCCCGUGCAGAAGCGAGGAUAUAACCAUAAGACGAGAAGACCCUAUGGAGCUUUAAACACUUAAGUUACUAUUUUUCUUAUCAAUUAAUCUAAAGACCUAACCUACCCUAAUAGUAACCUAACUUAAUGUUUUCGGUUGGGGCGACCAAGGAGUAAAAGAAAACCUCCUUAUCGACUGAGUAUUUUUACUUAAAAAUCAGAACGACAGUUCUGAUCAAUAGAAUAUCUAACGAAUAAUGACCCAGGGCUACACCCUGAUCAAUGAACCAAGUUACCCUAGGGAUAACAGCGCAAUCCUUUCUAAGAGUCCAUAUCGCCGAAAGGGUUUACGACCUCGAUGUUGGAUCAGGACAUCCUAAUGGUGCAACCGCUAUUAAGGGUUCGUUUGUUCAACGAUUAAUAGUCCUACGUGAUCUGAGUU